UUGGAGGGCAAGUCUGGUGCCAGCAGCCGCGGUAAUUCCAGCUCCAAUAGCGUAUAUUAAAGUUGUUGCAGUUAAAAAGCUCGUAGUUGAACCUUAGGCCCGUGCGGGCGGUCCGUCCUCUGGGCGAGCACUGCUCCGUCGCGGGUCUCACCUUCUGGCGAGCGUGGAUGCCAUUUAUUUGGUGUCCGCGGGAACCAGGACCUUUACCUUGAAAAAAUUAGAGUGCUCAAAGCGGGCUCCGACGCUUGAAUACAUUAGCAUGGAAUAAUGAAAUAGGACGAUGGUUCUAUUUUGUUGGUUUCCGGGACCGUCGUAAUGAUUAAUAGGGAUAGUUGGGGGCAUUCGUAUUCAAUUGUCAGAGGUGAAAUUCUUGGAUUUAUUGAAGACGAACUACUGCGAAAGCAUUUGCCAAGGAUGUUUUCAUUAAUCAAGAACGAAAGUUGGGGGAUCGAAGACGAUCAGAUACCGUCGUAGUCUCAACCAUAAACUAUGCCGACCGGGAAUCGGGCGAUGUUACUUUUCUGACUCGCUCGGCGCCCCGAGGGAAACCAAAGUGUUUGGGUUC
rnacentral:rRNA from 1 species